CCUACGGGUGGCUGCAGUGGGGGAUAUUGCACAUUGGGCGCAAGCCUGAUGCAGCCAUGCCGCGUGUGUGAAGAAGGCCUUCGGGUUGUAAAGCACUUUCAGCGGGGAGGAAGGCGGUGAGGUUAAUAACCUCAUCGAUUGACGUUACCCGCAGAAGAAGCACCGGCUAACUCCGUGCCAGCAGCCGCGGUAAUACGGAGGGUGCAAGCGUUAAUCGGAAUUACUGGGCGUAAAGCGCACGCAGGCGGUCUGUCAAGUCGGAUGUGAAAUCCCCGGGCUCAACCUGGGAACUGCAUUCGAAACUGGCAGGCUAGAGUCUUGUAGAGGGGGGUAGAAUUCCAGGUGUAGCGGUGAAAUGCGUAGAGAUCUGGAGGAAUACCGGUGGCGAAGGCGGCCCCCUGGACAAAGACUGACGCUCAGGUGCGAAAGCGUGGGGAGCAAACAGGAUUAGAUACCCUUGUAGUC
rnacentral:rRNA from 1 species